GCCAGACUCCUACGGGAGGCAGCAGUGGGGGAUAUUGCACAAUGGGGGGAACCCUGAUGCAGCGACGCCGCGUGGGUGAAGGAGCGUUUCGGCGCGUAAAGCCCUAUCGGCAGGGAAGAAGGAGGACGGUACCUGACUAAGAAGCCCCGGCUAACUACGUGCCAGCAGCCGCGGUAAUACGUAGGGGGCAAGCGUUAUCCGGAUUUACUGGGUGUAAAGGGGGCGCAGACGGCAGCGCAAGCCAGGAGUGAAAGCCCGGGGCCCAACCCCGGGACUGCUCUUGGAACUGCGCGGCUGGAGUGCAGGAGGGGCAGGCGGAAUCCCUGGUGUAGCGGUGAAAUGCGUAGAUAUCAGGAGGAACACCAGUGGCGAAGGCGGCCUGCUGGACGGUAACUGACGCUGAGGCUCGAAAGCGUGGGGAGCAAACAGGAUUAGAUACCCCAGUAC
rnacentral:rRNA from 1 species